rnacentral:rRNA from 1 species
UACGUAGGGGGCAAGCGUUGUCCGGAUUUAUUGGGCGUAAAGAGCGUGUAGGCGGUCAGGUAGGUCUGCUGUGAAAACUCGAGGCUCAACCUCGAGACGCCGAUGGAAACCAUCUGACUAGAGUCCGGAAGAGGAGAGUGGAAUUCCUGGUGUAGCGGUGAAAUGCGCAGAUAUCGGAAGGAACAUCAGUGGCGAAAGCGGCUUCCUGGUCCAGAACCGACGUUCAGGCACGAAAGCGUGGGGAGCAAACAGG